rnacentral:rRNA from 1 species
UUACGGCUCAGUAACACGUGGCUAACCUACCCUCGAGACAGGGACAACCCCGGGAAACUGGGGCUAAUCCCAGAUAGAUGAAAACUCCUGGAAUGGGUUCUCGUCGAAAAGGCACUGUGGUUAUGCUCCAUGGUGUCGCUCAAGGAUGGGGCCGCGCCCGAUCAGGCUGUUGGUGAGGCAAUGGCUCACCAAACCUAUAACCGGUACGGGCCGUGGGAGCGGGAGCCCGGAGAUGGGAACUGAGACAAGGUCCCAGGCCCUACGGGGCGCAGCAGUUACGAAAACUUGUCAAUGCACGAAAGUGUGAACGGGCUACCCCGAGUGCCGUCCGCUGAGGAUGGCUUUUCUCUGCUGUAAGAAGGCGGAGGAAUAAGGCGAGGGCAAGUCUGGUGUCAGCCGCCGCGGUAAUACCAGCUCGCCGAGUGGUAGGGAUGAUUAUUGGGCCUAAAGCGUCCGUAGCCGACCUUUCGAGUCUCUUGUUAAAUCCAACGAUUCAAUCGCUGGACUGCAGGAGAUACUGUCAGGCUAGGGGGCGGGAGAAGCCGACGGUAUUUUCGGGGUAGGGGUAAAAUCCUAUAAUCCCGGGAAGACCACCAGUGGCGUAGGCGGUCGGCUAGCACGCGCUCGACGGUGAGGGACGAAAGCUGGGGGAGCGAACCGGAUUAGAUACCCGGGUAGUCCCAGCUGUAAACGAUGCUGGCUAGGUGUUGAAGCGGCUACGAGCCGCUUCAGUGCCGCAGGGAAGCC